rnacentral:tRNA from 1 species
GCUGGGAGUGGCCAGCGGCGCAGGGCUUAGGACCCUGUCCCGUAGGGGUUCGUGGGUUCAAAUCCCACCCCCCGCA